rnacentral:rRNA from 1 species
AUUGAACGCUGGCGGCAGGCUUAACACAUGCAAGUCGAGCGGAGAGAGGUAGCUUGCUACUGAUCUUAGCGGCGGACGGGUGAGUAAUGCUUAGGAACCUGCCUACUAGUGGGGGACAACAUUUCGAAAGGAAUGCUAAUACCGCAUACGUCCUACGGGAGAAAGCAGGGGAUCUUCGGACCUUGCGCUAAUAGAUGAGCCUAAGUCGGAUUAGAUAGUUGUUGGGGUAAAGGCCCACCAAGGCGACGAUCUGUAGCGGGUCUGAGAGGAUGAUCCGACACACAGGGGCUGAGACACGGCCCAGACUCCUACGGGAGGCAGCAGUGGGGAAUAUUGGACAAUGGGCGCAAGCCUGAUCCAGCCAUGCCGCGUGUGUGAAGAAGGCCUUAUGGUUGUAAAGCACUUUAAGCGAGGAGGAGGCUACUUUAGAUAAUACCUAGAGAUAGUGGACGUUACUCGCAGAAUAAGCACCGGCUAACUCUGUGCCAGCAGCCGCCGUAACAC